rnacentral:rRNA from 1 species
GUGAUAUGAACCGUUAUAACCGGCGAUACCCGAAUGGGGAAACCCAGUGUGAUUCGUCACACUAUCAUUAACUGAAUCCAUAGGUUAAUGAGGCGAACCGGGGGAACUGAAACAUCUAAGUACCCCGAGGAAAAGAAAUCAACCGAGAUUCCCCCAGUAGCGGCGAGCGAACGGGGAGGAGCCCAGAGCCUGAAUCAGCAUGUGUGUUAGUGGAAGCGUCUGGAAAGUCGCGCGAUACAGGGUGACAGCCCCGUACACAAAAGCGCAUGUGUUGUGAGCUCGAUGAGUAGGGCGGGACACGUGGUAUCCUGUCUGAAUAUGGGGGGACCAUCCUCCAAGGCUAAAUACUCCUGACUGACCGAUAGUGAACCAGUACCGUGAGGGAAAGGCGAAAAGAACCCCGGCGAGGGGAGUGAAAAAGAACCUGAAACCGUGUACGUACAAGCAGUGGGAGCACCCUUCGGGGUGUGACUGCGUACCUUUUGUAUAAUGGGUCAGCGACUUAUAUUCUGUAGCAAGGUUAACCGAAUAGGGGAGCCGGAGGGAAACCGAGUCUUAAUUGGGCGUUAAGUUGCAGGGUAUAGACCCGAAACCCGGUGAUCUAGCCAUGGGCAGGUUGAAGGUUGGGUAACACUAACUGGAGGACCGAACCGACUAAUGUUGAAAAAUUAGCGGAUGACCUGUGGCUGGGGGUGAAAGGCCAAUCAAACCGGGAGAUAGCUGGUUCUCCCCGAAAGCUAUUUAGGUAGCGCCUCGUGAAUUCAUCUCCGGGGGUAGAGCACUGUUUCGGCUAGGGGGCCAUCCCGGCUUACCAACCCGAUGCAAACUGCGAAUACCGGAGAAUGUUAUCACGGGAGACACACGGCGGGUGCUAACGUCCGUCGUGAAGAGGGAAACAACCCAGACCGCCAGCUAAGGUCCCAAAGUCAUGGUUAAGUGGGAAACGAUGUGGGAAGGCCCAGACAGCCAGGAUGUUGGCUUAGAAGCAGCCAUCAUUUAAAGAAAGCGUAAUAGCUCACUGGUCGAGUCGGCCUGCGCGGAAGAUGUAACGGGGCUAAACCAU